GGCGGCGUAACUCAGUUGGUAGAGUACCCGGUUCAUACCCGGUCUGUCACCUGUUCAAGUCAGGUCGCCGCUACCA
rnacentral:tRNA from 1 species